rnacentral:lncRNA from 1 species
UUUCUCUUUUUUUGCUCUUUAUCUGGUUUCAAAGAAUCUUGCCCGAGUCACAACUUUUUGUUUGUUUGACAUUUGAUUUUCAUAUUUAGCAUGAGUAUGUAUCACAAUCAGACGGUCUGUUAUAAAUCUUUAAUGAUUAUGACCAUUGUGUGGCCUUGAACUUAAUAAGAAGUUCAUAAGAAGAAGAAUAUUUACAGUGAUAAUUUCAGAAGUUCGUACCUACAUUAUAACUUUUCUUCCUUGAAAUGAUAUUUUUUUCAUAUUUGUAUUUGCGAUAUUAUUUUUAACAAGAUUCCGGAACUGACUAUUUGAGAGAAAAAAAAAUGUAAACUAUUAUAAGAUAAAUAGGCAUACGUUAACAUGGUUAAGAGGAGACAAAGGCAGGAUCGGAUACUUCGUAAAUAUUUUGAAUAAUUAGCUACUGAACUGUACAUUUCAAGUAUUAUGAAAUGCUUUCAAUUUCUUGGCAGAAUAGAUUCAUACAGGUUUUAGGUAUUUUUAAUUUAUUAUUUUCAAAUUCCAAAAAAUUAAAACAGAGUGGAGGUAUAAAAUUUACUGUAGAAUAAAAGUAUAUACAGUGAUUAGUUUUCAGUUAUGAUUCUUAUAAAUGAGCCCUUGUCCAUAAUUUCGUCAUUCCGAAAUUCCGUCAUUCCGCAACAAACCAUUAUACGAAGUUUUUUCUACACGCUUUCAGGUAUUGGGCUGAAUUUUGGUUUGUGAGUUAACCAUGAUGAGUUACAGAUCAAGUUUAAGUUUCGUUCCGCUCCGCUAAUUUUUGCUGAAAUUACGGGCUUUGGACUUUGAUAAAUUGUUGAAAAUCAA